GGUAACCUAGAGUUGAGAGAUGGAGGAAGAGAUGCAGAAUCUGGAUGGCUUUGCUCUGAUCCUGUAAUCUGACUAUGCCUGAAUGUGGAUCUACCUUCCAAAGGACUUCUCCAGCUCCAUUUACAGUCUGGCUCCUGGGCCUUUGGAUCCCAGCAGUGUCCGAACAGGGGCUCAAAGGACAGCCCCACUGUGGGGGAUCAGCCCUAGAAGCUGUCACUACAUCUCCAACGGACGCAACUAUUUUCCAGGAACAACAGGGGAGAGAGCCAACAACAGCACAGUGGCCCCGGACCGUGACCCUUGGACUGAAGGAACCUACAGAUGUGGUUUUUUUGGUGACAUUUUACAUGCAACUCCAGAUUUCGGACUCUUUUUGGAGAAGCAGGCAAUCUGGCAACAGUCGUUUUGGAUUCUCAGAAGGCAAUAAAGAACAGCUGCCACCUUCCGAGGGGCAUGGUGGGUGCCCUGUUCUGCUAGAAUUGCCAACACGCCUAUCGUCUUAGACUUGCCCAAGGUGUCGCAGUUAGAGACUGCCUCCCUUAUUCACGCUCCUGCCUGGUGCCCAGGGGCUUGAAUUUGCUCCCCUUGGAGUGGGGUGAGGCUCUGCAGACACUUCUCAUACACCUCCCCUGCAGACAGCGAGCUCCUGGAACACAAGUCACAUGCAUUUCAUUUCCUGCUCUCUUGCUACCACCCAACAUGGGCUCUCAAUACAUGUUGAAGGCAAGGAUCAAUGAAUAAAUGGGCAACUAUCAGCUGUAGCCUUGUAUGUGCCAGGUAUGGUGCUAGGCACCAAAAGGGCCACAGAGGUGUUAUACACCAGGAUAUCAGGGAGUUCAUGACACAGUGAGGGAAAGAAAAAGCUUAUGCAGUGUGUGUGUGGGACUUUAAGCAAACAUGAUGCAUAACAAUAAAAGGAAUGACUUUGCCUGCCCCUGAUGAAACUUCAGCAGGGCUAUGCCCUGUCUUGCCACCUUCAGGAAACAGCAGUCUUAUAGUCCUUUGCCCCUCUGAGUUACAACCACUGUCUCCUUUCAGGAGAAUGUCCAGUGUUAUAUCAUAAUCAAGACUUUGAACUUGAUGUGGCAUUACACGUUCUUCCAUCUCCCCAGCCACCUGAGAAGGGAGAUGGGGUAGCUUUUCUCUCUCACUCUCUCUCCCCCAAUCCCUCCUCUUCCCACCAGCAGGCGAAUGAGCUUCCUGCCCAUAGGAGAAAGGGUAAAAUCACAAGGUGGUGCCCUUGUCUCCAAAUCUCAAGGUCCUCUGGAUGGCAGGUGAGUAAAGGUGACUCUUGUGAUCAUGGGUGUUUUGGGUGUUCCUCAGAGAUCCUCCAAACUGGGGGCUUGUCCACCGUUCCCAGGACUCUGCCAUGUGGAGCCAUGGGAAUGUGAAGUUCACCUCACACUUCCUUUCAUCUGAGGUCACCGCACAGCCCCUACCAGCCCAGCCAUAUUGGGUGGGAUUUCAGAUGCCCCCACAAUGGCUGCCUUGGAGACUUUCCACUGGUCCUCAAGAAGCAACAACACUCCCCUUGCUCUGCCUUUGGUGGAGGGCAAUUCCUCCUCUCUCUCUGCCUGGCCCCAGGCUGCUUUGGCUCUCUCAGGCACUGGUCCCCGUAUUCCCCCAGAUACAGAGAACCCUCAUCAAGCUCUCAAGUGGCCACUGAAACCCAGGCUCUCUAGGGUCCAGCGUAUGGAAGCGACAGCCCCAUUUAAUUUCUCCUUUCCUUUUGUAGGCUUACAGCAUAGCCCUCUCCCAAGAAAUCAUCCAAAAAUUACCUCAACCAUUCUAUAGUCCCCAAGCUGACCAGGGGAGGGAGGACCAAGAAUCUUGAACCUAAAUACUACAUUUGAUGAUCUCCUCAGACUUAUUUUGGGAUCUGAUAUCUCUUUAACAAAAAUUAUAAAAAUUGAGGCAAAGAGAGCCCAAUUUUUUAUAUAUUGUUCUGAUAAAUAACAGGUACCCUUAGAAGAAUGCAGACAAACACUCCUAUGGAAAUUUAAAGGAGCAUAAGACUUCUUCCAGUAUAGGGAGAGAACCAAGGAAGACUUCCCGGAGGAAAUGGCCAUUGAACUGGGCCUUGGACAUGUGGAGGUCAGGGAUGAGAGUAUUCCAGAUGAAGAGUCCAGCAUAGGGAAGGCCCACAGGCAGGAAUUGCGCUGUAUUAAUGCUGUCUUAGAGGCAUUUCCAUUGCCAGAAACAGAUACUCAAAUACUUCAAAGAGAGAGAGAGAGAGUAUUGAAAGAGUUUCUAUGAACAACUGUGGUUCUCAAAGUGUAAUCCCUGGGCCAGCAGCAUCGGCAUCACCUGGGAACUUGUUAGAAAUGCAGAUUCCCAGGCUGGGUGCAGUGGCUCACGCCUGUAACCCUAGCACUUUGAGAGGCGGGGUGGGUGGAUCACCUGAGGUUGGGAGUUCGAGACCCACCUGACCAACGUGGAGAAACUCUGUCUCUACCAAAAAUACAAAAAGCCGGGCGAGGUGGCGCAUGCCUGUAAUCCCAGCUACUCGGGAGGCUGAGGCAGGAAAAUCGCUUGAACCUGGGAGGCAGAGGUUGCGGUGAGCUGAGAUUGUGCCACUGCACUCCAGCCUGGGUAACAAGAGCGAAACUCCACCGAAGAAAGAGAGAGAGAGAGAAAGAAAGAAAAGAAGAGAGAAAGAAAGAAAAAGAAAAAAAGGAAAGAAAAGAGAAGAAAAAAAAGAAAAAAGAAAAGAAAAGAAAAGAAAAAAGAAAAGGGCACAUUCACCAGAGGCUUUGAAUCAGAAAAGGACCCCCAGGGGCUGGUGGUAGCAGUCCUUGCACAGGCCCUCCAGGUGAUUUUCAUCCAGGGAAGCUUGUGAGCCCUUGAGAUGGAAUAUUCUCAGGAACCCCUGAGAUAUAUGAAGAACUGAUGGCAUAGGCUAUUUCUAGGGAGGAAAUGGGGUUGCUGAGUGCACAGAUGAGGGGAGGUGGGAGACCUCUGUAAUUGUGUACCAUGUGCAUAUAUUACGUAUUCAGAGAAUAAUAAAAUAAUGUGUUUAAUCC